AUUGAACGCUGGCGGCAGGCCUAACACAUGCAAGUCGAGCGGAUGAAGGGAGCUUGCUCCUGGAUUCAGCGGCGGACGGGUGAGUAAUGCCUAGGAAUCUGCCUGGUAGUGGGGGAUAACGUCCGGAAACGGGCGCUAAUACCGCAUACGUCCUGAGGGAGAAAGUGGGGGAUCUUCGGACCUCACGCUAUCAGAUGAGCCUAGGUCGGAUUAGCUAGUUGGUGGGGUAAAGGCCUACCAAGGCGACGAUCCGUAACUGGUCUGAGAGGAUGAUCAGUCACACUUGAACUGAGACACGGUCCGGACGCCUACGGGAGGCACCAGUUGGGAAUAUUGGACAAUGGGCGAAAGCCUGAUCCAGCCAUGCGGCGUGUGUGAAGAAGGUCUUCGGAUUGUAAAGCACGUUAAGUUGGGAGGAAGGGCAGUAAGUUAAUACCUUGCUGUUUUGACGUUACCAACAGAAUAAGCACCGGCUAACUUCGUG
rnacentral:rRNA from 1 species